rnacentral:tRNA from 2 species
CGGGGCGUAGCGCAGUUUGGUAGCGCACACGGCUGGGGGCCGUGUGGUCGCAGGUUCAAAUCCUGUCGCCCCG